rnacentral:rRNA from 1 species
AUUGAACGCUGGCGGCAGGCCUAACACAUGCAAGUCGAGCGGAUGAAGGGAGCUUGCUCCUGGAUUCAGCGGCGGACGGGUGAGUAAUGCCUAGGAAUCUGCCUGGUAGUGGGGGAUAACGUCCGGAAACGGGCGCUAAUACCGCAUACGUCCUGAGGGUGAAAGUGGGGGAUCUUCGGACCUCACGCUAUCAGAUGAGCCUAGGUCGGAUUAGCUAGUUGGUGGGGUAAAGGCCUACCAAGGCGACGAUCCGUAACUGGUCUGAGAGGAUGAUCAGUCACACUGGAACUGGGACACGGUCCAGGCUCCUACGGGAGGCAGCAGUGGGGAAUGUUAGACAGUGGGCGAAAGCCUGAUCCAGCCAUGGCGCGUGUGUGAAGAAGGUCUUCGGAUUGUAAAGCACUUUAAGUUGGGAGGAAGGGCAGUAAGUUGAUACCUUGCUGUUUUGACGUUACCAGCAGAAUAAGCACCGGCUAACUUCGUG